GUUUGCAAAUGGGAUUUUUCUCGUUUUGAUGUUCUAGGUUACGGUACAGCAGGUCUGAAGUCGCAGGUCCGGCUACUCUCAAAUAAUACCGAGGUUUUAAUCUCGCUCUACAUGACCUAUGGGACGUACACGCUUUUAAUUUAGGACAGUGUCAUUUUUGCUUAUUUCACGAUUGAGGUUACUCCACUGAAACACCAGUUUGGGGCCUGUUUCUCACUCUCAGCUGCUCUCUCACCACCCUCCCACUUGGGCCCAGCUGCCUCACCAGAGGUUACUGCUCCAGGUAAUUUGCUGGGCUGCCUCUCUGAUCUGCUGCCUCUACAGCUGUCUGGACUUCGCAAAGGCCUCAGAAAAAUCAUGCCUCAGAAUAACUACUCCAUCAAAAUGGAACCAUGUCUGGAAAGAUGGUUGAAUGCGUUAACAUUUUAUUUCGAAAAGUAACAUGGAUGAGAAGUUCCACUGGCAACAAAAUAUUAUGUAUUAGUAUUUAAGGCAUGAUGAUGAUGUAACUGUCACUUUCCUUUUCUCCUGUCCUUCUCUCAAACUUGGCCUGACCUGACCUGGGAUUAAACAAUCAGAAGUGUUGUCACUGUAACAUGUUUCUUGUGCUCAAAGAUCACGAGCAGGCCUACCUCAGCACACAGCAGAAAUGGUUGGAGUGGCAGAAGGUACACAUGUGAUCUUAACCGAUGCAUUUAUACCCAUCACCUGCCUGUAGCACACAUGGUUACACAUUAGUGAGAUUAUAAAGUUUUCCAUUCUUUUAUAUUUUUUCACUUCCCUACUCUGUUUACCUAGGCAGCAGGAGUCAUCCCAACACUUGUUAGGUGGGAAAAGAUACAGAAUGUAAUACACCUCCUUGUCCCUCAGGAAAGACCUUUGGUAAAUUUGGAAUGAGCAUCUAAUUCUCUCCAGGAUGCUCUGAAUGUAAAUUUGGAAAGAGGAAUUUCUCCAAAUAAUUAUAGUUUAAGUGCCGAAUUCCAAAUAUAUUUAUUUUCUUUGCUUUUUUGUUGGCGUGUGUUGCACACAUGCUGGAAGAGAUUUCUUUUUUGUGGUUGCUAUGGUAAAAAGCAGUUCCCAGUCCUUUUACUUAAAAUCCAUGAACUGCAAUUAACUGUUUAAUGUUGUAACAGACAACAGCUCUAGUAACACCUUAACAGCUUUGAGCAUGAUACUCCCAUCAUCUCAGCAGAUGGUGAUUUUUGGCAUUCUGUGUUUUCAGCUUAUUCUUUUCCUUUAUAAUCCUUGCCAUUAUAUCUUCUGACAAAUGCUUCUGGACUAACUUAAUUGCAAUUUGAUUAUACUGAGACAGCCCUCAGAUCUCAGAUCUUUUUGUAUUUCUUUUAAAGGUGACCAAUAUAUUAAAAAAAAAAAAAAAAAAAAGUGUAUCCCCAGCAACAAUUAUAAAACCAGUUUUUAAAGUAAGACUCUGUUUCUUCUCAUCUGUAACCAUAAAAAUAAUCUUGAAAGAUGCUUAGUCUGCCUUAGGAACCCUUCAUCUGAACAGAAAAGGAGAAAUAAAUUAUUCUUUUGUGAAGAAGGAGUAACUCAAUGUUUGUCAAGAGUCUGAACUAAAUAAGUUACCAAUUUCAACUAGUUUUA